CAGGGAGACAACAAAAUGUUUAAUAUUAUUAUUUUGUCACCUUAGGUCGAUCGGUACCUCACGUUCUUAAUUUAUUAAGAAUUUCAUUUCUUAAGUUUUUCUAGGUCACACCCAUUAUUUUUCCUGGGCCAUUAGCUCAGGUGGUUAGAGCGCACCCCUGAUAAGGGUGAGGUCCCUGGUUCAAGUCCAGGAUGGCCCAUAUCUCUAUGUUGGGGGUAUAGCUCAGUUGGUAGAGCGCCUGCUUUGCAAGCAGGAUGUCAGCGGUUCGAGUCCGCUUACCUCCACUGAUUACCACCUCUUCCAUAAUUUGUAGAAAGGAAAUUUUUUGAGUUGUGAUCAAAUUCUGAACGAAUCUAGCUUCCUAAUGAAAUCAUUAAGAUGCUGGACUCAUUGAAUUAAUUUCAUUGUUUUCAGAGAACCUUGACAACUGCAUAGAUUAUUUUAAAGACAAUAAGCAUCUUUAAUGAUGCAGAUUUAUUAUUUGUGCGAAUGCAUUAAUAACAAUUCUAUUAAGCUGAUGCUUCAAUUUUGAAGUUAUU
rnacentral:tRNA from 1 species